CCUACGGGAGGCAGCAGUGAGGAAUAUUGGUCAAUGGCCGAAAGGCUGAACCAGCCAAGUCGCGUGAGGGACGAAGGUGCUACGGAUUGUAAACCUCUUUUGUCAGGGAACAAAAUGAGGCACGAGUGCCUGAUCGAGGGUACCUGAAGAAAAAGCAUCGGCUAACUCCGUGCCAGCAGCCGCGGUAAUACGGAGGAUGCGAGCGUUAUCCGGAUUUAUUGGGUUUAAAGGGUGCGUAGGCGGCCGUGUAAGUCAGCGGUAAAAGUGCGGGGCUCAACCCCGUACCGCCGUUGAAACUGGAUCUCUUGAGGUGGCGAGAGGUAUGCGGAAUGCGCGGUGUAGCGGUGAAAGGCUUAGAUAUCGCGCAGAACUCCGAUUGCGAAGGCAGCAUACCGGCGGGCAACUGACGCUCAUGCACGAAAGCGUGGGUAUCGAACAGGAUUAGAUACCCGAGUAGUC
rnacentral:rRNA from 1 species